rnacentral:rRNA from 1 species
CAGUAGCCACGGUAAUACAGAGGGUGCGAGCGUUAAUCGGAUUUACUGGGCGUAAAGCGUGCGUAGGCGGCUUCUUAAGUCGGAUGUGAAAUCCCUGAGCUUAACUUAGGAAUUGCAUUCGAUACUGGGAAGCUAGAGUAUGGGAGAGGAUGGUAGAAUUCCAGGUGUAGCGGUGAAAUGCGUAGAGAUCUGGAGGAAUACCGAUGGCGAAGGCAGCCAUCUGGCCUAAUACUGACGCUGAGGUACGAAAGCAUGGGGAGCAAACAGGAUUAGAUACCCCGGUAGUCCAUGUCUCUUAUAC